rnacentral:rRNA from 1 species
CCCUUAGAGUUUGAUCCUGGCUCAGGAUGAACGCUAGCUACAGGCUUAACACAUGCAAGUCGAGGGGAAACGACAUCGAAAGCUUGCUUUUGAUGGGCGUCGACCGGCGCACGGGUGAGUAACGCGUAUCCAACCUGCCCACCACUUGGGGAUAACCUUGCGAAAGUAAGGCUAAUACCCAAUGAUAUCUCUAGAAGACAUCUGAAAGAGAUUAAAGAUUUAUCGGUGAUGGAUGGGGAUGCGUCUGAUUAGCUUGUUGGCGGGGUAACGGCCCACCAAGGCGACGAUCAGUAGGGGUUCUGAGAGGAAGGUCCCCCACAUUGGAACUGAGACACGGUCCAAACUCCUACGGGAGGCAGCAGUGAGGAAUAUUGGUCAAUGGACGAGAGUCUGAACCAGCCAAGUAGCGUGCAGGAUGACGGCCCUAUGGGUUGUAAACUGCUUUUAUAAGGGAAUAAAGUGAGUCUCGUGAGACUUUUUGCAUGUACCUUAUGAAUAAGGACCGGCUAAUUCCGUGCCAGCAGCCGCGGUAAUACGGAAGGUCCGGGCGUUAUCCGGAUUUAUUGGGUUUAAAGGGAGCGUAGGCCGGAGAUUAAGCGUGUUGUGAAAUGUAGACGCUCAACGUCUGCACUGCAGCGCGAACUGGUUUCCUUGAGUACGCACAAAGUGGGCGGAAUUCGUGGUGUAGCGGUGAAAUGCUUAGAUAUCACGAAGAACUCCGAUUGCGAAGGCAGCUCACUGGAGCGCAACUGACGCUGAAGCUCGAAAGUGCGGGUAUCGAACAGGAUUAGAUACCCUGGUAGUCCGCACGGUAAACGAUGGAUGCCCGCUGUUGGUCUGAAUAGGUCAGCGGCCAAGCGAAAGCAUUAAGCAUCCCACCUGGGGAGUACGCCGGCAACGGUGAAACUCAAAGGAAUUGACGGAAGGGCGA